UACGUAGGGGGCAAGCGUUGUCCGGAAUCAUUGGGCGUAAAGAGCGUGUAGGCGGCUUGGUAAGUCCGCUGUGAAAGUCCAGGGCUCAACCUUUGAAUGUCAGUGGAUACUGCCGGGCUAGAGUCCGGAAGAGGCGAGUGGAACUCCUGGUGUAGCGGUGGAAUGCGCAGAUAUCAGGAGGAACACCUGUGGCGAAAGCGGCUCACUGGACCACAACUGACGCUGAGGCGCGAAAGCUAGGGGAGCAAACAGG
rnacentral:rRNA from 1 species